rnacentral:lncRNA from 1 species
ACUAUUGGAACGCCCACGCUGAGGCAGAGAGAACUCAUCUUUUCACUAGACUUGCCAAGACUGGUGACUCAGAGGCCUGAGAGAAGGUGUCCAACAAACAGCAUGGAGGGAAGUAAGAGCUAAAUCCAGUGACAAGGGUCCUUACAAGAGACACACAGGGAGAAGAGGAGAAGGUCAUGUGAAGACAGAGGCUGAGACUGGAGUGAUUACA